UGUCUUCGAGGCGGGGUGCGAUUCCCCACCGGCGGUAAGCGCUAAAAGCGCAAAGCCCGCAAGCGAAAGUUGAUUUGGUGAAAUUCCAAAGCCGACGGUAAAGUCCGGAUGAAAGAAGAU
rnacentral:ncRNA from 1 species